AUUGAUUUUAUGCUUGCAUAAAUGAUUUUUGGAUUCGGAGCGAGUGGCGAACUGGUGAGUAACACGUGGGUAACCUGCCCCGAAGCGGGGGAUAACAUUUGGAAACAAGUACUAAUACCGCAUAAUUAGUUGGAACCGCAUGGUUCCAACUUGAAAGAUGGCUCUGCUAUCACUUUGGGAUGGACCCGCGCCGUAUUAGUUAGUUGGUGAGAUAAAAGCCCACCAAGACGAUGAUACGUAGCCGACCUGAGAGGGUAAUCGGCCACAUUGGGACUGAGACACGGCCCAGACUCCUACGGGAGGCAGCAGUAGGGAAUCUUCCACAAUGGACGAAAGUCUGAUGGAGCAACGCCGCGUGAGUGAUGAAGGUUUUCGGAUCGUAAAACUCUGUUGUUAAAGAAGAACAAGUGUUAGAGUAACUGCUAACACUUUGACGGUAUUUAACCAGAAAGCCACGGCUAACUACGUGCCAGCAGCCGCGGUAAUACGUAGGUGGCAAGCGUUGUCCGGAUUUAUUGGGCGUAAAGCGAGCGCAGGCGGUUUUGUAGGUCUGCUGUGAAAGCCCUCAGCUCAACUGAGGAAGUGCAGUGGAAACUACAAAACUUGAGUACAGAAGAGGAAAGUGGAACUCCAUGUGUAGCGGUGAAAUGCGUAGAUAUAUGGAAGAACACCAGUGGCGAAGGCGGCUUUCUGGUCUGUUACUGACGCUGAGGCUCGAAAGCAUGGGUAGCGAACAGGAUUAGAUACCCUGGUAGUCCAUGCCGUAAACGAUGAAUACUAGGUGUUGGAGGGUUUCCGCCCUUCAGUGCCGCAGCUAACGCAUUAAGUAUUCCGCCUGGGGAGUACGACCGCAAGGUUGAAACUCAAAGGAAUUGACGGGGGCCCGCACAAGUGGUGGAGCAUGUGGUUUAAUUCGAUGCUACGCGAAGAACCUUACCAGCUCUUGACAUCUUCUGCCAACCCAAGAGAUUGGGCGUUCCCUUCGGGGACAGAAUGACAGGUGGUGCAUGGUUGUCGUCAGCUCGUGUCGUGAGAUGUUGGGUUAAGUCCCGCAACGAGCGCAACCCUUAUUAUUAGUUGCCAGCAUUUAGUUGGGCACUCUAGUGAGACUGCCGGUGAUAAA
rnacentral:rRNA from 1 species